rnacentral:rRNA from 1 species
AUAUCAAUAAGCGGAGGAAAAGAAACCAACAGGGAUUGCCUUAGUAGCGGCGAGUGAAGCGGCAAAAGCUCAAAUUUGAAAUCUGGCUCUUUCAGAGUCCGAGUUGUAAUUUGAAGAAGGUAUCUUUGGGCCUGGCUCUUGUCUAUGUUUCUUGGAACAGAACGUCACAGAGGGUGAGAAUCCCGUGCGAUGAGAUGACCCAGGUCCGUGUAAAGUUCCUUCGACGAGUCGAGUUGUUUGGGAAUGCAGCUCUAAGUGGGUGGUAAAUUCCAUCUAAAGCUAAAUAUUGGCGAGAGACCGAUAGCGAACAAGUACAGUGAUGGAAAGAUGAAAAGAACUUUGAAAAGAGAGUGAAAAAGUACGUGAAAUUGUUGAAAGGGAAGGGCUUGAGAUCAGACUUGGCAUUUUGCAUGUUGCUUCUUCGGGGGCGGCCUCUGCGGUUUGUCGGGCCAGCAUCAGUUUGGGCGGYAGGACAAUCGCGYGGGAAUGUGGCACGGCCUCGGCUGUGUGUUAUAGCCCGCGUGGAUACUGCCAGCCUAGACUGAGGACUGCGGUUUAUACCUAGGAUGUUGGCAUAAUGAUCUUAAGUCGC